AUUAAGAUGUUAUGUUGAAUAUGAAGUAUGAGUAUGAUGUGAUGAUCUAUGUUGUUAUGAUUUGGUUAAUACGUGUUAUAUGAUGAUGUUAUAAUGUGGUGAAUAUGAAGUAAAUGAUAAUUAGAAGUUGGUUGGACUAUUAAGAAUUAUACAUGAAGAAUUAUUAUUACUAAUAGAUGAAGUUAUUUGGGUAGUUAAAUAUAAUUAUUGAAUUAUAUGCUUGAUAUUAUUAUUUUGUGAAAUCUCACCCCUUCUGCUUGGAAAUGUUGCUCUUCGUAUGAGAAACUUGCAGGUGAUCGAGUUUAAGUUGCUGUUGUGAGUGGAUUAGCUCUCAUGUGUGUCUUUAGGUGCUCUGAUACGUAACGGGAUGGGAAUUUUAAUGUUGUCUUUCUUUUCCUUACGUAUUGCUUAAAGAAUUUUCAUGAAUAAGAUGUUGAUCGGAUUUGUAUGAGAUAUUAAUGAUGAGGCCUUCGUGCCAAAUACUGUUUUAGUUAUCGAAUAAAUUCC
rnacentral:lncRNA from 1 species